UACGUAGGGAGCGAGCGUUGUCCGGAUUUAUUGGGCGUAAAGAACGCGUAGGCGGCUCGGUAAGCCGGAUGUGAAACCUCCAAGCUCAACUUGGAGCGGCCAUUCGGAACUGCCGUGGCUAGAGUCUGGUAGGGGAACACGGAAUUCCUGGUGUAGCGGUGAAAUGCUUAGAUAUCAGGAGGAACACCAGUGGCGAAGGCGGUGUUCUGGGCCAGUACUGACGCUGAGGCGCGAAAGCGUGGGGAGCGAACAGG
rnacentral:rRNA from 1 species